AGGAGAAUGGCGUGAACCCAGGAGAUGGAGCUUGCAGUGAGCCGAGAUCGCGCCAAUGCACUCUAGCCUGGACGACACAAGGAGACUCCAUCUCAAAACAACAACAACAACAACAACAACAACAACAACAACAACAAAAACAACAAAAACCAGCUGAGCAGCGCGGGCCUUCUGGCAGCGGGUCCAGCUCCAGGGCGCCCUAGGGCAGCGGCGUGCAGUGUUCGGGUAAUAGGACGCAGACGGUGGGGUCGCCGGGGGCUUCGGGGUGGCCUCGGCCCCAGGCCAUCCAGCCCUGUGGACCGAAUGGAGUCCCACACGCUGUUGAGGUAGUUGUGGGUUCCCCUGGCCUCGGGCUCGGCGCAGGGUCAGCGCUCCUGCAGGCGGCGCUUGCGGUACGGGCUGGUGAAAGUGGAGACGGACGGCAGGAUGGAUUCACUUGGCGACAUGGCGGGGAGCUGGGAAGACGGACACCGGCUGGGAAAGGGUUUCUUCUGUCCAUAAAAGCUACUCCAAUGGCUGUGGGAGACUUAAUUCCAAUUCCAGGUGAUACAGCCGUCAGUCUCCCACUAGCUGUAGGAUGGUGUGCUGCAGUUCACAGACCUAAGUCAAUGUUAGUCUACCACUGUACGUCUGGUAACCUCAAUCCCUGCAACCGGAGCAAAAUGUGAUUCCAGGUCUUGGCAACCUCUGAAAUUCCAACUCCAUUUGCGAGAGCUUUGAGGAGGCCAUAUGCUGAUUUCACCACAAGCAACUUCACAACCCAGUACUGGAAUGCCAUCAGCCAGCAGGCCCCUGCCAUUAUCUGUGACUUCUAUCUGUGGCUCAUUGGAAGGAAACCCAGCUACCGAAGGAAGAUACCCUCAUCAACCCAAUUUUACAAAUGGAGAAAUAGAAGCUCAGGGAAGAAUCUGAAGUAGUCUCAAAGGAAGUGACAGGAAGGAUGUGGAGAAAGCUGAGUGUCAAAGUCAGUAUUCAAGACCGGAUUUACUGCUACUUAGAGAUGAAUGAAGAAAUCAGAGGGAACGCAGUGUGCUGAUGCUAAAGCGGCUGUCACCACCCAGCUGUGUGACAUAGGACAUCUUCUUUCUCUGUCUCACUUGACUAAUAUGUUGUGUCAGGGGAGACAUGAUUGUAAUUGCCUAAAGCAAUUCUUGUGAUCAAGAAUCAGAAGCAUGAACAGUAUUGCCCUCUGUGUUAGCCCCUUUAUAAGGGAGGAAGUCAUCUUCAGCAUGCUGAAUUGUCAUCUUUCUUAGCAGUGCAAAUGACUAAAACUUAGCCAAUGUAGAGUUUGUCCAAAUUUGGAGCUCAUAACUCAGUUCUUGAGCAAAGUGAAAAGAAAACAUUGUGAUUAUGGGGAAAAUAUUUGUACGGGACUUAUCAAAUAAAGAUAGGAAAAGAAGAAAACUCAAAUAUUAUAGGCAGAAAUGCUAAAGGUUUUAAAAUAUGUCAGGAUUGGAAGAAGGCAUGGAUAAAGAACAAAGUUCAGUUAGGAAAGAGAAACACAGAAGGAAGAGACACAAUAAAAGUCAUUAUGUAUUCUGUGAGAAGUCAGACAGUAAGAUUUGUGGGAAAUGGGUUGGUUUGUUGUAUGGUAUGUAUUUUAGCAAUAAUCUUUAUGGCAGAGAAAGCUAAAAUCCUUUAGCUUGCGUGAAUGAUCACUUGCUGAAUUCCUCAAGGUAGGCAUGAUGAAGGAGGGUUUAGAGGAGACACAGACACAAUGAACUGACCUAGAUAGAAAGCCUUAGUAUACUCAGCUAGGAAUAGUGAUUCUGAGGGCACACUGUGACAUGAUUAUGUCAUUACAUGUAUGGUAGUGAUGGGGAUGAUAGAAGGAAGAACUUAUGGCAUAUUUUCACCCCCACAAAAAUCAGUUAAAUAUUGGGACACUAACCAUCCAGGUCAAGAAAAGUCACAUGCCAUAGCCAUGGUAUUGCACAUCAUUCAUCUUGCAUUCUUUGAGAAUAAGAAGAUCAGUAAAUAGUUCAGAAGUGGGAAGCUUUGUCCAGGCCUGUGUGUGAACCCAAUGUUUUGUUUAGAAAUAGAACAAGUAAGUUCAUUGCUAUAGCAUAACACAAAAUUUGCAUAAGUGGUGGUCAGCAAAUCCUUGAAUGCUGCUUAAUGUGAGAGGUUGGUAAAAUCCUUUGUGCAACACUCUAACUCCCUGAAUGUUUUGCUGUGCUGGGACCUGUGCAUGCCAGACAAGGCCAAGCUGGCUGAAAGAGCAACCAGCCACCUCUGCAAUCUGCCACCUCCUGCUGGCAGGAUUUGUUUUUGCAUCCUGUGAAGAGCCAAGGAGGCACCAGGGCAUAAGUCUACUCACUUAUAUCUGUUUGUCUGGAACAUAACCCAUGUUUGUUUUUACAACAAAUAAAAUUGAUCUUGAAUAAAAA
rnacentral:lncRNA from 1 species